CCGUUUGCAUUCUGGAGAAGAACUUUCCCUUCGGGGACAAAGUGACAGGUGGUGCAUGGUUGUCGUCAGCUCGUGUCGUGAGAUGUUGGGUUAAGUCCCGCAACGAGCGCAACCCUUGAUUUUAGUUGCCAGCAUUUAGUUGGGCACUCUAAAGUGACUGCCGGUGUAAGCCGGAGGAAGGUGGGGAUGACGUCAAAUCAUCAUGCCCCUUAUGACCUGGGCUACACACGUGCUACAAUGGAUAAUACAAAGGGUCGCGAAGCCGCGAGGUGGAGCCAAUCCCAUAAAAUUAUUCUCAGUUCGGAUUGCAGGCUGCAACUCGCCUGCAUGAAGCCGGAAUCGCUAGUAAUCGUAGAUCAGCAUGCUACGGUGAAUACGUUCCCGGGUCUUGUAACCACACGCA
rnacentral:rRNA from 1 species